rnacentral:rRNA from 1 species
AGUGAACGCUGGCGGUAGGCCUAACACAUGCAAGUCGAACGGCAGCACAGUAAGAGCUUGCUCUUACGGGUGGCGAGUGGCGGACGGGUGAGGAAUACAUCGGAAUCUACUUUUUCGUGGGGGAUAACGUAGGGAAGCUUACGCUAAUACCGCAUACGACCUACGGGUGAAAGCAGGGGAUCUUCGGACCUUGCGCGAUUGAAUGAGCCGAUGUCGGAUUAGCUAGUUGGCGGGGUAAAGGCCCACCAAGGCGACGAUCCGUAGCUGGUCUGAGAGGAUGAUCAGCCACACUGGAACUGAGACACGGUCCAGACUCCUACGGGAGGCAGCAGUGGGGAAUAUUGGACAAUGGGCGCAAGCCUGAUCCAGCCAUACCGCGUGGGUGAAGAAGGCCUUCGGGUUGUAAAGCCCUUUUGUUGGGAAAGAAAAGCAGCAGGUUAAUACCCCGCUGUUCUGACGGUACCCAACGAAUAAGCACCGGCUAACUUCGUG